CUUCGGUGGGGAUUAGUGGCGAACGGGUGAGUAACACGUGGGCAAUCUGCCCUUCACUCUGGGACAAGCCCUGGAAACGGGGUCUAAUACCGGAUGAUACUUCUGCUCGCAUGGGUGGGGGUUGAAAGCUCCGGCGGUGAAGGAUGAGCCCGCGGCCUAUCAGCUUGUUGGUGAGGUAGUGGCUCACCAAGGCGACGACGGGUAGCCGGCCUGAGAGGGCGACCGGCCACACUGGGACUGAGACACGGCCCAGACUCCUACGGGAGGCAGCAGUGGGGAAUAUUGCACAAUGGGCGAAAGCCUGAUGCAGCGACGCCGCGUGAGGGAUGACGGCCUUCGGGUUGUAAACCUCUUUCAGCAGGGAAGAAGCGAGAGUGACGGUACCUGCAGAAGAAGCGCCGGCUAACUACGUGCCAGCAGCCGCGGUAAUACGUAGGGCGCAAGCGUUGUCCGGAAUUAUUGGGCGUAAAGAGCUCGUAGGCGGUCUGUCGCGUCGGAUGUGAAAGCCCGGGGCUUAACCCCGGGUCUGCAUUCGAUACGGGCAGACUAGAGUGUGGUAGGGGAGAUCGGAAUUCCUGGUGUAGCGGUGAAAUGCGCAGAUAUCAGGAGGAACACCGGUGGCGAAGGCGGAUCUCUGGGCCAUUACUGACGCUGAGGAGCGAAAGCGUGGGGAGCGAACAGGAUUAGAUACCCUGGUAGU
rnacentral:rRNA from 1 species